GCAGAGCUGAGGUUCUUCUGUGUCCUCUUUCCUUCCAGCGACUGCUUCUGCCUAACUUCUCUUCAGGGAGGUUUCCACAGAUUACAGAAGUACCUUUUUAGUACCCAGGGCACAUUCCAUCCUGUCUCGAAGUCCCUUUCUUCAGCUUCUUCUAGAACUUCUGGUGAACAAGGGUGCUAAGAGCAAAGCACUUCUAAGAUUCAACCACUCAAACUCUGAAACAAAUGUUGGAGGGCUACUCCAUCCGCAUGGCCGCAACCCAACAUGGCAUUUACCUCAAAAGACCCAGUGACUGCUCCCAAAAGCAGUGUGGACGGAUUGUGGGAAGACACAGCAUGAUGGAGCUCCUGAAGUAAGAAGAUACAAGUUACGAUCUAAGCUGAAAGGCUGGUCAGGAAGGAAAGGGAAGACUGUGGCCAGGAAUCAAAAAACCUAGACAAAGAGUUGCAUGGUGGCAAACAGACUUAUAUGGGCCUGGGCUAUAGACCAGAGAGCUCACAAAAGGUGGUAAAGGACAGACCUUCCCAGUGCCCAGCCUUUUCCUGUGCUUCCCAUUGGCUGAAAUCGAAGGAAAGCCAGAAACUUGGCAUCAUGGGAUGUCAUCUGACAAAGGGAAGAAUGGCUCUGGCAUGAGGAUGGGGAAAAGGAAACUUCUGUCUUCUUGGAACACCUGAGACAAGAGAAUGAUGAAUGGCAGCCUGGAGAUCAGCCUGGAGCCACACCUUGCCCUUUGAGUAGCCUCUCCCAUGACAAUCAACACUUUUCUAGAGCCUGGUAAGGUGUGAGAGUUUAGAAUGUCCAUAGGUUAGCUAUGGUAGAGACCUGGAAGACAGGCG
rnacentral:lncRNA from 1 species